UCCGGUUUGUCACCGGCAGUCUCCUAUGAGUCCCCAGCCGAACUGCUGGCAACAUAGGACGGGGGUUGCGCUCGUUGCGGGACUUAACCCAACAUCUCACGACACGAGCUGACGACAGCCAUGCACCACCUGUGAUCGCGCCCCGAAGGGAAGGUAUGUUUCCAUACCGGUCGCGAACAUGUCAAGCCCAGGUAAGGUUCUUCGCGUUGCAUCGAAUUAAUCCGCAUGCUCCGCUGCUUGUGCGGGCCCCCGUCAAUUCUUUUGAGUUUUAGCCUUGCGGCCGUACUCCCCAGGCGGGGCACUUAAUGCGUUAGCUACGGCGCGGAAAACGUGGAAUGUCCCCCACACCUAGUGCCCAACGUUUACGGCAUGGACUAC
rnacentral:misc_RNA from 1 species